rnacentral:miRNA from 1 species
GAGUUGGCCAAAAAGUUCACUUGGGAUUUUCUGUAACAUCUUAUGGAAAAACCCAAACAAGUUUUUUUAGCCAACCCAGUA